rnacentral:rRNA from 1 species
GACGAACCGUGCGAACGUUAUUCGGAAUCACUGGGCUUAAAGGGCGCGUAGGCGGGUUCUCAAGUCAGGGGUGAAAUCCCGCGGCUCAACCGUGGAAGUGCCUUUGAUACUGGGGACCUCGAGGGAGGUAGGGGCGUGCGGAACUUCCGGUGGAGCGGUGAAAUGCGUUGAGAUCGGAAGGAACGCCCGUGGCGAAAGCGAGGUCCUGGACUCUGACUGACGUUGAGGCGCGAAAGCCAGGGGAGCGAACGGG